GGGGACUUGCAAAAGGCAAUAGGCUCAGAUCCUGCAGCUGACACCAGUCGCCAGAGCGCGCUGGCAAGGCCUGCCACGCAUACUCAGUGCCCUUCAGGGUCAGCCCUGGGAGCUUGGAGCCCACCACACCGCCCUUGGCAGAGCGCUGCAGGGCGCGGGCGGGGGAGGACAAGCAGAUUGUGGCCGGCGCACGCGGCUCGUUUGCAUUUCUAUGGGGGGCGCACAAUAGCGGAGGUCUGGCGUGUGGCAGUUUGUGGUAGGAACAAUCGGGGCUUUCUCUUCAUAGCAACACUGUCCACCUGCCGCCGGGUGGGGUGGGCAGGGCCCCGCCGCGCGUGGGGGUGGCGGGGGAGCCUGGCGCGUGGGGGUCGGGGCCGCGUGCCACUCCCCCGCCCCUGCACCGGCUCUGCUGUUUGCAACCGGGACUCCCCCCGUUCGUCGCACGCGUACGGAGCAGCCGAGCGAGUUGUGAAGGACACCGGGCUGCGGAGCCUGAACCCCGUGCCUCCGGCUUCUGGAGCUUGUGGAACGCAGCUGGAGAAUCCCUUUCCCAGGGCGCCACCUACAGGCUGAGCGGAAAGACCCUGACCUCCCUCCACCCACUCGCUCCCACUUACCCUUGCUUACGCCUCUUCUGGCGGCCUUGGCCAGGGGCAGCCCGGGCACUGAGUGGCGCAGCAGAACCCUGUCCAAGAUGCGUAUUAACGGGAAUCUGACUAACUCCUGCACAGCGCUCCCGCGGGGGAGGCUGUGUCGGAUUUACCCUGAAAAAUGGGAGGAGGGGAAAGGAGACUCCCACCUUGUACUGAAGGAGUAAGAGCUCGUGUCUUAUGCGAUGUUGAAAUAUUUUGAUGACUUGAAUUUGCAUUGUAAAAAAAAAAAAAAGAUUAUUCCCAGUAAUAAAAUAAUAAAACUGGAAGAGACCUUGGAAGCCUCAUAGAUGAGGCGUUACUGCCAUUUGGCACGUUGGACCUACAAAAACUGUGCUUGCAGAACACAGCACUGGGGCGUCGGCGUCUUUCUAUGCUGCCUGGGAACGCGUGCUGGGGAUGGGGGUCAUCUUUCGGGCUCCCCUUUUCUUGGUGAGGCCUGGGAAAAUGGCCAGAGCAAUUGGCCGCCUCGUUGAGUCUCAGGAAACCUGCGAGGUUGGGGCGAAAAUGAGAAAGAAAACAAACGAAAGGCUUUUUUUCUUUUCAUUCGGCUUUCUCCUGGUGGAUGAGGCAUCUACAAGGUACUUCUCAACUCUUUUUAAAGUUUUCCUUCUGUACUGGGAGGCUGAUGCGUUCCCCAACGCCAAGGGCCAAGUGAGGAACCGGCGUCUUGCGCCCCCUGGCGGCUUGCGGGCGGAGGAGAACUGCAACGCUAGCGUUUCCUGGAUUCCAAGAAAUGCACAUUUGCUCCCCAACAUCUCGGAAACCCAUAGGUAUCUUAUAAUCACAAGGGCGGGGAACAUUGUGCUCUAUGUCUUUGCUGCCGUCUUCUUUCCUUCUUGGUGGGAUG
rnacentral:lncRNA from 1 species